rnacentral:misc_RNA from 1 species
CAGCAAUAUACUUUUGCUGAAGAGUUGCACCCUUCUGUUGCACCUUAUCAGGAUGGAUGCACAAGGUUGCUUUCCUAUAAACUUUUUUCACUGAGGCAACGGUGAUCAAAUCAGUCAAAGAUACGGGCUGCCACCCACAUUCAGGCCAAAGCACAUAAUGUAAUGUUGAUAGCAAGGCACGCAAGUUGCCUUCUUUGCCAGCUGCCCACCGCUUUAUCUCAAAAUCCAACGUUUCAGCGAUUCUAUGUCUUUCAGCCUGGUCCCUUUGAACUUGCAUGUCACGUUCGUUUUUCUCAGCAAGAGCUUUUGCCGUGCGCUCAAGUGUCCUUUGAUGUCUUUCAAGUCUGGCUCUUCUUCUUUCUUCACUCUCACCUUCAACUUCUUGAA